AAUCAACGCUGGCGGCGCGCUUAACACAUGCAAGUCGCACGAGAAAGGGAGCAAUCCUGAGUCAAGUGGCGUACGGGUGAGUAACACGUGGGAAUCUACCUCUUGGCGGGGAAUAACCCUGGGAAACCGGGGCUAAUACCGCAUAAGCUCGUGAGAGGAAAGCAGCAAUGCACCGAGAGAGGAGCCCGCGGCCGAUUAGCUAGUUGGUGGGGUAAUGGCUCCCCAAGGCGAAGAUCGGUAGCCGGCCUGGGAGGGCACACGGCCACACUGCCACUGAAACCAGGCCCGAAUCCUACGGGAUGGAGGCAUGGGGAAUCUUGCACAAUGGGGGAAACCCUGAUGCAGCGACGCCGCGUGAGCGAUGAAGCCCUUCGGGGUGUAAAGCUCUUUCGACAGGAACGAUAAUGACGGUACCUGGAGAAGAAGCCGCGGCUAACUACGUG
rnacentral:rRNA from 1 species